AUUGAACGCUGGCGGCGUGCUUAACACAUGCAAGUCGAUCGGUAACAGGUGUAGCAAUACAUGCUGACGAGAGGCGGACGGGUGAGUAAUGCUUGGGAAUCUGCCUAUUAGUGGGGGACAACCCGGGGAAACUCGGGCUAAUACCGCAUACGCUCUACGGAGGAAAGCCGGGGACCGCAAGGCCUGGCGCUAAUAGAUGAGCCCAAGUCGGAUUAGCUAGUUGGUAGGGUAACGGCCUACCAAGGCGACAAUCCGUAGCUGGUCUGAGAGGACGACCAGCCACACCGGAACUGAGACACGGUCCGGACUCCUACGGGAGGCAGCAGUGGGGAAUAUUGGACAAUGGGGGCAACCCUGAUCCAGCGACGCCGCGUGGGUGAAGAAGGCCUGCGGGUUGUAAAGCCCUUUCGGUGGGGAAGAAAAGUCUCGACCUAAUACGUCGGGACCUUGACGUAACCCACUAAAGAAGCACCGGCUAACUCUGUGCCAGCUG
rnacentral:rRNA from 1 species